rnacentral:rRNA from 1 species
UAGUUGGUGGGGUAAUGGCCUACCAAGGCGACGAUCAGUAGCGGGUCUGAGAGGAUGAUCCGCCACACUGGAACUGAGACACGGUCCAGACUCCUACGGGAGGCAGCAGUGGGGAAUUUUGGACAAUGGGGGCAACCCUGAUCCAGCCAUUCCGCGUGAGUGAAGAAGGCCUUCGGGUUGUAAAGCUCUUUCAGCCGGAACGAAACGGUAUUCCUUAAUACGGGGUGCUAAUGACGGUACCGGCAGAAGAAGCACCGGCUAACUACGUGCCAGCAGCCGCGGUAAUACGUAGGGUGCGAGCGUUAAUCGGAAUUACUGGGCGUAAAGCGUGCGCAGGCGGAUUGUUAAGCAUGAUGUGAAAUCCCCGGGCUUAACCUGGGAAUGGCAUUUUGAACUGGCAGUCUAGAGUGUGUCAGAGGGGGGUGGAAUUCCACGUGUAGCAGUGAAAUGCGUAGAUAUGUGGAGGAACACCGAUGGCGAAGGCAGCCCCCUGGGAUAACACUGACGCUCAUGUACGAAAGCGUGGGUAGCAAACAGGAUUAGAUACCCUGGUAGUCCACGCCCUAAACGAUGUCAACUGGUUGUUGGGGGAGUGAAAUCCCUUAGUAACGAAGCUAACGCGUGAAGUUGACCGCCUGGGGAGUACGGUCGCAAGAUUAAAACUCAAAGGAAUUGACGGGGACCCGCACAAGCGGUGGAUGAUGUGGAUUAAUUCGAUGCAACGCGAAAAACCUUACCUACCCUUGACAUGUCCAGAAUCCUGCAGAGAUGCGGGAGUGCCCGAAAGGGAAUUGGAACACAGGUGCUGCAUGGCUGUCGUCAGCUCGUGUCGUGAGAUGUUGGGUUAAGUCCCGCAACGAGCGCAACCCUUAUCAUUAGUUGCUACGCGAGGGCACUCUAAUGAGACUGCCGG